rnacentral:rRNA from 1 species
GACGAACGCUGGCGGCGUGCUUAACACAUGCAAGUCGAACGGAAAGGCCCUGCUUGCAGGGUACUCGAGUGGCGAACGGGUGAGUAACACGUGGGUGAUCUGCCCUGCACUUCGGGAUAAGCCUGGGAAACUGGGUCUAAUACCGGAUAGGAGCCAUUUUUAGUGUGAUGGUUGGAAAGUUUUUUCGGUGUAGGAUGAGCUCGCGGCCUAUCAGCUUGUUGGUGGGGUAAUGGCCUACCAAGGCGGCGACGGGUAGCCGGCCUGAGAGGGUGGACGGCCACAUUGGGACUGAGAUACGGCCCAGACUCCUACGGGAGGCAGCAGUGGGGAAGAUUGCACAAUGGGCGCAAGCCUGAUGCAGCGACGCCGCGGGGGGGAUGACGGCCUUCGGGUUGUAAACUCCUUUCGCUAGGGACGAAGCUUUUUGUGACGGUACCUAGAUAAGAAGCACCGGCUAACUACGUG